UGGAGCAUGUGGUUUAAUUCGAUGCAACGCGAAGAACCUUACCUACUCUUGACAUCCAGAGAACUUAGCAGAGAUGCUUUGGUGCCUUCGGGAACUCUGAGACAGGUGCUGCAUGGCUGUCGUCAGCUCGUGUUGUGAAAAUGUUGGGUUAAGUCCCGCAACGAGCGCAACCCUUAUCCUUUGUUGCCAGCGAGUUAGGCCGGGAACUCAAAGGAGACUGCCAGUGAUAAACUGGAGGAAGGUGGGGAUGACGUCAAGUCAUCAUGGCCCUUACGAGUAGGGCUACACACGUGCUACAAUGGCAUAUACAAAGAGAAGCGACCUCGCGAGAGCAAGCGGACCUCAUACAGUAUGUCGUAGCUCCGGAUUGGAGUCUGCAACCUCGACUCCAUGAAGUCGGAAUCCCUCGUAAUCGUGGAUCGAAUGCAGGUGAAUACGUUCCCCGGGCCUUGUACACAACCGCCCGUUAA
rnacentral:rRNA from 1 species